AAAGGAGAAGAAGCUGUCGAAGGACCUGGGUCAGGCUGCCACUAAACUUCAGCAGCUCCUCAAAGUCAGUCAGGAGCUACUCGCCAAAGAGAAGGACACAGUCAACGUCCUCAGGGACCAACUUAUAGGAAAGGAGGAGACCGGGGAAGUGAAAGAAGGGACAUCUGUCUGAGUUAGACAAAUACACAGUUUGCCAAAAUGCCUUAAAAUGACGAGUUAUGCAUUCCUGCAAGUUGAUUUUUGUUGUACUGUAGUUAAAUUAAUACUCAAAGGAAAGAGAAAGACAAAUUUCUCAUUGUUAAAUGUAGACAAGUGAUACAAAUCUUUUUUUUUAUGCUGUCGCAAACAUUCCAUUAAUGAACUUCUGACCAUGUCAGAAAAUAUCCCUAAUCUGCCUUUGCUCAAAGUCCCCAACGGUUCAGUGUUAAGGGAAACCGCAUGUACGUUAAAUGUACAUCAACUAGUGCAAUUACUUUAUCGUUUGUUUUGUCAAAGGUUGAGAAGUUGGAACAUGUUAAGGUACAAUGAUGCAUUACAUUGUAUGCUCUCUACUUCCUGGAGCUGGCUGGUAACAAAAAUGUUUGAAUUUGAUAAAGAAUAAACUACAAUGUAGCUUUAAAGGCC